rnacentral:rRNA from 1 species
UACGGGGGGAGCAAGCGUUGUUCGGAUUUACUGGGCGUAAAGGGCGCGUAGGCGGUCGUGACAAGUCACUUGUGAAAUCUCCGGGCUUAACUCGGAACGGUCAAGUGAUACUGUCGGACUAGAGUACAGAAGGGGCAACUGGAAUUCUCGGUGUAGCGGUGAAAUGCGUAGAUAUCGAGAGGAACACCUGCGGCGAAGGCGGGUUGCUGGGCUGAUACUGACGCUGGAGACGCGAAAGCGUGGGGAGCGAACAGG